rnacentral:rRNA from 1 species
AGGGUUCGAUUCUGGCUCAGAUUGAACGCUGGCGGCAGGCCUAACACAUGCAAGUCGAGCGGUAGAGAGGUGCUUGCACCUCUUGAGAGCGGCGGACGGGUGAGUAAUACCUAGGAAUCUGCCUGAUAGUGGGGGAUAACGUUCGGAAACGGACGCUAAUACCGCAUACGUCCUACGGGAGAAAGCAGGGGACCUUCGGGCCUUGCGCUAUCAGAUGAGCCUAGGUCGGAUUAGCUAGUUGGUGAGGUAAUGGCUCACCAAGGCUACGAUCCGUAACUGGUCUGAGAGGAUGAUCAGUCACACUGGAACUGAGACACGGUCCAG